rnacentral:lncRNA from 1 species
UCAAGUAUAAACAAGACCAUAAUGAAGUAUAUCAAAUACCCUCAACACAAGAUCAAAAUGACCUUUCCAAGAGGUGUAUUUUAUUUUGGAGAAAUUAAGAUGAAACAGAAAAUAGCCAAGUCAUCCGAAUUCACGGAUUUUCCUUAAGGAAAUAAUCCCCCUCACUGUACCCGAGGUUGUGAAAUUUUUCCUCCUAGGAUAAAAUGGCUAACAGACCAACAGUAUCA